GACAUAUCGAAUGCUAGCGGGCUUCUUCACACAUGCGCGUCGAACCUAACAGGUCCCUCGGGACGCUGACGAGUGGCGCACGGGUGAGUAACUAGCAUGCAACCUGCGAUGUACAGGGGGAUAGCUCGGAGAAAUCCGGAUUAAUAAGCAUGGUAAGUGUGAUUCGCAUGUUAGACAGAAUAAAGUGGCUGCGGUACAGGAUGGGCAUGCGUGGCAUUAGCUUGUUGGUAGGGUAACGGCUUACCAAGUACUGUGCCUAGGGGUUCUGAGAGGAUGAUCCCCAACACUGGGACUGAGACACGGCCCAGACUCCUACGGGAGGCAGCAGUGAGGAAUAUUGGUCAAUGGGCGAGAGCCUGAACCAGCCAUCCCGCGUGCAGGAUGACGGCCUUACGGGUUGUAAACUGCUUGGACUGCAAGAAGAAUGGUCACUACGUGUAGUGAUUUGACGGUAUUGCAGGCUAAUAUAAGCAUCGGCUAACUCCGUGCCAGCAGCCGCGGUAAUACGAGAUAUGCAAGCGUUAUCCGGAUUCAUUGGGUAGAUAGGGUGCGUAGGCGGCUAUAUAAGUCAGUGGUGAUACUGUGCCUCACAACUGUAGUUGCACCAUUGAAACUGUAUAGCUUGAGUGGACCUGAGGUUGACCGGAAUGAGUAGUGUAGCGGUGAUAUGCUACUAUAUUACUCAGAACACCGAUUGCGAAGCGAGCUUACUAAAGCGUAACUGACGCUGAUGCACGUCUGCGUGCCCUAUGAACAGGUACUCAUACUCUGGUAGUCCACGCGCUCUCGGAUGAUAACUCGCUGUUGGCGAUACACAGUCAGCGGCUUAGCGACUUCAUUAAGAGUCCACCUGGGGAGUACGAUCGCAAGGUUGAAACUCACGGGAAUUGACGGCCGCCUGCACAAGCGGAGGAACAUGUGGUUUAAUUCGAUGAUACGCGAGGAACCUUACCUGGGCUUAGAAUGUAGAAUGACCGUUGCCGAACAGGUGACUUACCCGUUCGGGGCGUUUUACAAGGUGCUGCAUGGUUGUUCGUCAGCUCGUGUCCGUGAGGUGUCCGGUUAAGUCCCAUAAGCGAGCGCAAAUCGUCAGUUGCUAGCAGGUCUUCCUGAGGACUCUGGCGAGACUGCCACCGUAAUGUGAGUACCAAGGUGGGGAUGACGUCAAGUCAGCACGGCUACUAUGUCCAUCCACACGUGUUACAAUGUACAAUAGGCAAGCUACCUGGUAACAGGAUGCUAAUCCCAAAAGCCGGUCUCAGUUCGGAUUGGAGUCUGCAACCCGACUCCAUGAAGCUGGUCCGGCUAGUAAUCGCGCAUCAGCCAUGGCGCGGUGAAUACGUUCAUGCCUUGUACACACCGCCCGUCAAACCAUGGAAGUUGCAAGGUAACCUGAAGUCUGCAACCGCAAGGACGCGGCCUACCAGCAAAUAGGUAAGUGACUGAGCUACUUCGA
rnacentral:rRNA from 1 species